rnacentral:RNase_P_RNA from 1 species
GAGGAAAGUCCGGGCUCUAUUUAUAAAAUAUCUGUUGUAUAAUAUGCAAUAUAGUAAACUAUGAGGAUAGUGCCACAGAAACAUACCGCCUUAUUAAAGGUGAGGGUGCAAUGGUUCGGUAAGAGCGUACCAGAAGUAUCGUUAAGAUAUUUGCUAGGUAAACCCCAUUUUAGAGCAAAGUAACUGAUUAAAUGUAUUUAUAAGCUGAAUCUAUAUACUAUGUUAUUUUCUACUAUUUAUUAUACUGCAUGAAGUAAGCAGUUUACUUUAGAUUAAUAAUUACCCUUUUCAUAUAUUUUAAUAACACCAUUAUGUGGUUAGACAAAGAACAAAACCCGGCUUAU